rnacentral:sRNA from 1 species
GCCUGUUAUCUCAGCUAACGGGAAAGCUAGGGCUGGCAGAUCUCCUGAGCUCAAGGAAUUCUGAGCUGUUGUGAGCUAUGCUGAUCAGGUUUUUGUACUUUGGGCAUUAACAUGGUGAGCCCCCUAGGGAAGAGGGGUCAAGGUUGCCUAAGAAGAGGCAAAUUGGCCCAGGUUGGAGAUGGAACAUGUCAAAACUCCUGUGUUGAUCAGUAGGGGGAUUGAGCCCAUGAAUAGCUUUUGUACCUUUGGCCUGGGCAAAAUGAGGAGAU